rnacentral:lncRNA from 10 species
GCACGGGGCUCGGGGUGCGGGGGGCUGGUGUGAUGGACGCAUUUGUUCUUCGGUCCCUGACGAUUGUUUCUCAUUUGCCCUCCAAGCCCCAAAUCCUGUCAGUCCACGGCCUUGAUGGAGCGGCCCCCGUGGGACGACCCUGUUGAUUGUGCUAGCGGAUGUUGUCUCCAUUCUGGAUCUGGGAAAAACUGUGGAGUGAAAGCCGGACCUGUUAGGGUUGGGACCUGAAAGCGGACUUUUUCGCUCUCAGACGGGCCCCAGACGGGAGCUCUUUCAGGCCAGUGGUUUGUUGUUCAUCAAGAUAUCCAAGUACCCGGCAACAUUCCUGGCAUAUAAUAGGAAGGCAGAUCUGGUGAAUGAAUGAAUGAAUGGCGGUAUCUGGAGCAGAGACAAUGUAUGUAUAUAUUGCUAUUUAUAUAAUGUCUGCCCCCCCAGUCAUUUUGCCCUUCAGCCCCAAAAUGGCAUAGCAAAA